GCGCGGGGCGGGUCUCGCGCCGCUCUGAGGGGAGGUGGCGGGGGCCCGGGCGCCGCCGGGGAUGGCGUCCGUCCUCCCGUCCGUCCUCUCGUCCCCGGCGCUGAGGAGCGCUGCCCACCCGCCGGGAGCGCGGUGAGGAUCAGUCCUGCGGCCCGGGCAGCCCUCAGCUGCGGGUGAUUAAUGGCGCCGCUGCUGUCCCUGGGCACCCACAGCUCCCUCCCCCGCUGCCCGUCCGGCCAGGGCAGCCGCUUGUCACAGGAACGGUAACUGAGGGGCCGAGUCCUGGGCCGCGAUAAACGGGACACAGAAUGGAAAAUGUGAAGUCCGCUCACAGGGUUCUGUGUACUGACUAGCGUGCUGUGCCUGGACCGUCAGGUGCUCGGGAAAGUAUGGGACGAGUGUCAGAAACAAGAGUGGAACCUUCUCCGUGAGGAAAAAGAGAACAGGGUGCUGAAGGAACUUGGAAUAAAUGUGACAGAUGUGGAGAAGAAGUGUGGAAAGAAUUAAAAAGUGAUAUAAGGGGGCACAAAUUGAAUGGGGGAAAACAUGAGAAGGAAAAAUACCACUAAAGAAGAACAGAAAGCACAGCCGCCCCCAACCAGCAAAGAUAAAAUCUACGAAGAACAGGGAAAAAAACAAUUAUUAAGGUCAAGACUGGUAUGAAGCUUCUAUUCAGAUUGCGAUGCUCACAAGAAUCCCAAGUUACUGAGGAAGGGACGGCGAAGGUAACAAGUCACAAGGAAGCUGGAAUUCCCAACCAGCCUGAACUGAUACUUAGAUGUAAUUAAGAUGUCGUUAUCAGCCAUCUGUUCCUGGGCCC